rnacentral:rRNA from 1 species
GAUGAACGCUGGCGGCGUGCCUAAUACAUGCAAGUCGAGCGAACGGACGAGAAGCUUGCUUCUCUGAUGUUAGCGGCGGACGGGUGAGUAACACGUGGAUAACCUACCUAUAAGACUGGGAUAACUUCGGGAAACCGGGGCUAAUACCGGAUGAUAUUUUGAACCGCAUGGUUCAAAAGUGAAAGACGGUCUUGCUGUCACUUAUAGAUGGAUCCGCGCUGCAUUAGCUAGUUGGUAAGGUAACGGCUUACCAAGGCAACGAUGCAUAGCCGACCUGAGAGGGUGAUCGGCCACACUGGAACUGAGACACGGUCCAGACUCCUACGGGAGGCAGCAGUAGGGAAUCUUCCGCAAUGGGCGAAAGCCUGACGGAGCAACGCCGCGUGAGUGAUGAAGGUCUUCGGAUCGUAAAACUCUGUUAUUAGGGAAGAACAUAUGUGUAAGUAACUGUGCACAUCUUGACGGUACCUAAUCAGGAAGCCACGGCUAACUACGUG